GAUGAACGCUGGCGGCGUGCCUAACACAUGCAAGUCGAACGGAGAUUACGGACGGAAGUUUUCGGAUCGAAGACUGUAAUUCUUAGUGGCGGACGGGUGAGUAACGCGUGGGCAACCUGCCCUAUACAGGGGGAUAGCAGCUGGAAACGGCUGGUAAGACCGCAUAAGUCGGCGAGACCGCAUGGUUUUGCCGGGAAAUGAGCAAUCAGGUAUAGGAUGGGCCCGCGUCCGAUUAGCCAGUUGGCAGGGUAAAAGCCUACCAAAGCAACGAUCGGUAGCCGGACUGAGAGGUCGGACGGCCACAUUGGGACUGAGACCCGGCCCAAACUCCUACGGGAGGCAGCAGUGGGGGAUAUUGCACAAUGGAGGAAACUCUGAUGCAGCGACGCCGCGUGAGUGAAGAAGUAUUUCGGUAUGUAAAGCUCUAUCAGCAGGGAAGAUGAUGACGGUACCUGACUAAGAAGCCCCGGCUAACUACGUG
rnacentral:rRNA from 1 species